rnacentral:rRNA from 1 species
CCUACGGGAGGCUGCAGUGAGGAAUAUUGGUCAAUGGACGCAAGUCUGAACCAGCCAAGCCGCGUGCAGGAAGACGGCCCUACGAGUUGUAAACUUCUUUUGUACGAGGGUAAACGCAGAUACGCGUAUCUUUCUGAAAGUACCUUACGAAUAAGGAUCGGCUAACUCCGUGCCAGCAGCCGCGGUAAUACGGAGGAUUCAAGCGUUAUCCGGAUUUAUUGGGUUUAAAGGGUGCGUAGACGGGUCGAUAAGUUAGUGGUGAAAUCCCGCGGCUCAACUUCGGAAUUGCCAUUGAUACUGGCAGGCUAGAGAGUAGUUGAGGUAGGCGGAAUGUGUGGUGUAGCGGUGAAAUGCUUAGAGAUCACACAGAACACCGAUUGCGAAGGCAGCUUACCAAGCUACCUCUGACGUUGAGGCACGAAAGCGUGGGGAGCAAACAGGAUUAGAUACCCGGGUAGUC